rnacentral:rRNA from 1 species
AGUGAACGCUGGCGGUAGGCCUAAUACAUGCAAGUCGAACGGCCGCACAGUAAGAUUUCGCUCCUACGGGUGGCGACUGGCGGACGGGUGAGGCAUACAUCACAAUCUACUUUUUCUUGGGGGACAUCGUAGGGCCACUGCUGCUACCACCGCAUAUGUUCUACGGGUGAAAUCAGUAGAGAUUGGCACUUUGGCCGUUUCAAUUAGCCGAUGUCGCAUUAGCUAGUUGGCGAGGUAAAGUCCCACCAAGGCGACGAUGCGUAGCUGGUCUGAGAGGAUGAUCAGCCACACUGGAACUGAGACACGGUCCAGACUCCUACGGGAGGCAGCAGUAGGGAAUCUUGCGCAAUGGGCGCAAGCCUGAUCCAGCCAUGCCGCGUGAGUGAUGAAGGCCUUCGGAUUGUAAAGCCCUUUUGUUGGGGAAGAAAAACAGCAGAUUAAUACCCCGCUGUUCUGACGGUACCCAAAGAAUAAGCACCGGCUAACUUCGUG